GGCCAGACUCCUACGGGAGGCAGCAGUGGGGAAUAUUGCACAAUGGGGGAAACCCUGAUGCAGCGACGCCGCGUGAGUGAAGAAGUAUUUCGGUAUGUAAAGCUCUAUCAGCAGGAAAGAAAAUGACGGUACCUGACUAAGAAGCCCCGGCUAACUACGUGCCAGCAGCCGCGGUAAUACGUAGGGGGCAAGCGUUAUCCGGAUUUACUGGGUGUAAAGGGAGCGUAGACGGUGAAGCAAGUCUGAAGUGAAAGGCGGGGGCUCAACCCCCGGACUGCUUUGGAAACUGUUUGACUGGAGUGCAGGAGAGGUAAGUGGAAUUCCUAGUGUAGCGGUGAAAUGCGUAGAUAUUAGGAGGAACACCAGUGGCGAAGGCGGCUUACUGGACUGUAACUGACGUUGAGGCUCGAAAGCGUGGGGAGCAAACAGGAUUAGAUACCCUGGUA
rnacentral:rRNA from 1 species